CAAUGAAAUGAAAUGGGGUGUUAAGGCCUACUACUACUGUACUACUUUUACUAGGCCUAGCCAAGCUAUUACUAACUAUUAGGCAGCUGUUCUGCACCGACUGGACAAGUGAAGACGGGCAUACAUGUACGCCAUACAAAUGACUAUAGAUAACUUGACCCUUGCCAGGCCCUCUGUCCUGGAUCACUGUGAGAAAGUUUCACGGUGGGUAAGACGCUGGCUCGCUAGCCUGUGGUCGGGUGUUUGAUCGCGACAUUGGCCGAGAAAGUUCAUCCCAAUUUUCCGGCAUGGUUCCCCCUUGUCAGUGUUUUGUCAUUCGGAUGGGACCAAAAAUCGAGGUCCUGUGUACACAUUGGGGUGCGCGUAAAAGAUCCAUUGUCAGUUGGAAUUCGAUAUAAGAGUAGGCCGUAGUGCCGCUGUCCGGGCAAAAUUUCUCUCAUAGCACACUGUAUGGCGUAUGCCCGUCUUCAUUAGCCCAGUUCGGGGGGAGAACAGUAGGUUAAACCCCAUUUCAACCAAUGAACCUUCUCAGCCCACACUGGGGUCAAACACAGGACAUCCAGAAAAACGUAAACGAGAUGCUAUUGUAGCCUCAACUGCCCUGUCUCAUGUUUUAGUGGACCACUUGAAUUCAGGUGUUGCUCAAGCUUAUGUUAAUCAAAAGAAACUGGAUACAGAGACAAAGAUUUUAC